ACCGACGGGAGCUUGCUCCCUUAGGUCAGCGGCGGACGGGUGAGUAACACGUGGGUAACCUGCCUGUAAGACUGGGAUAACUCCGGGAAACCGGGGCUAAUACCGGAUGCUUGAUUGAACCGCAUGGUUCA
rnacentral:rRNA from 1 species